CACAUCUAUCUCUCCAACAGGACUGCAGCCACCAUUUACUGGGACUGCUACCACCACCCUGACCAACAGGGUGUCAGCAGCUGCCCCAGAGCCCUUCAG